rnacentral:ncRNA from 1 species
UCCGCCGUAGGGUGGAAUCUGAAGGAAGUCGGCGGCAAAACUCUGGUCUGACGAACAGAAACUACAUAUAAGGCAUAUGUCCGUGGGUAAGGUUGCAAGACAAACCGAAGCCCUAAACUAUCCGAAACAGACGGUGUAAAUGUAGCAGAUAGAUGGAGUGAAAGAUUGCGUU